rnacentral:rRNA from 1 species
AGAGUUUGAUCCUGGCUCAGAUUGAACGCUGCGGAAUGCUUUACACAUGCAAGUCGAACGGCAGCACGGGGCAACCUGGUGGCGAGUGGCGAACGGGUGAGUAAUACAUCGGAACGUGCCCAAUCGUGGGGGAUAACGUAGCGAAAGUUACGCUAAUACCGCAUACGAUCUACGGAUGAAAGCGGGGGAUCGCAAGACCUCGCGCGAAUGGAGCGGCCGAUGUCAGAUUAGGUAGUUGGUGGGGUAAAGGCUCACCAAGCCAACGAUCUGUAGCUGGUCUGAGAGGACGACCAGCCACACUGGAACUGAGACACGGUCCAGACUCCUACGGGAGGCAGCAGUGGGGAAUUUUGGACAAUGGGCGCAAGCCUGAUCCAGCCAUUCCGCGUGCAGGAUGAAGGCCUUCGGGUUGUAAACUGCUUUUGUACGGAACGAAAAGGUCCUGGUUAAUACCUGGGGCUCAUGACGGUACCGUAAGAAUAAGCACCGGCUAACUACGUG